rnacentral:rRNA from 1 species
UACGUAGGGUGCAAGCGUUGUCCGGAAUUAUUGGGCGUAAAGAGCUCGUAGGCGGUCUGUUGCGUCGGCUGUGAAAACCCGGGGCUCAACUUCGGGCUUGCGGUCGAUACGGGCGGGCUAGAGUUCGGUAGGGGAGACUGGAAUUCCUGGUGUAGCGGUGAAAUGCGCAGAUAUCAGGAGGAACACCGGUGGCGAAGGCGGGUCUCUGGGCCGAUACUGACGCUGAGGAGCGAAAGCGUGGGGAGCGAACAGG